rnacentral:rRNA from 1 species
AUGUACCACCUGCCUUCUACCCUAGCCGGCCCAAUACCUUCUCCGCAGGGACCUCAACAGUCCACUACUUCUGCUGCAUAGCCUAGUUCUUCUACACCAGCAGCUAUUGCUCCUAAUGAUCCAUCAUCAACUGCUUCACCUGUCAACCCGAAGCUGCCAUUUCCAGAACGGUUUGUGAAGUCAACUGAAGACAAGCAGAUUGCAAAGUUUCUGGAUAUGAUGACAGAUAUACAGAUUACCACCCCCAUACUUGAUGGUGUCUUACAGGUGCCGAUGUAUACACAGUUCUUUAAGUACCAGCUCGCAAAGAAGUGA